AGCGAACGUUAGCGGCAGGCCUAACACAUGCAAGUCGCACGAGAAUCCGGCUUCGGUCGGUAGUAAAGUGGCGGACGGGUGAGUAACACGUGGAUAAUCUGCCCCUCGGCGGGGGACAACAGUCCGAAAGGAUUGCUAAUACCGCAUACGUCAGCGAGGUCUUCGGACCUUGUUGGGAAAGAUGGCCUCUUCAUGAAAGCUAUCACCGAAGGAUGAGUCCGCGGCCCAUCAGCUAGUUGGCGGGGUAAUGGCCCACCAAGGCUUAGACGGGUAGCUGGUCUGAGAGGAUGAUCAGCCACACUGGAACUGAGACACGGUCCAGACUCCUACGGGAGGCAGCAGUGGGGAAUAUUGGGCAAUGGGCGCAAGCCUGACCCAGCCAAUGCCGCGUGAGUGAUGAAGGCC
rnacentral:rRNA from 1 species